rnacentral:ncRNA from 1 species
AGGCUGUCACCCGGCGCUGGUUCGCCCGGCCGGGUUCGGCCGGGCGUCGUAAGAGGGAACCCGGUGCAAGUCCGGGACUGCCCCGCAGCGGUGAGUGGGAACGACCGCCGUCACCACGCACUGGACCGCGAGGUCUGGGAAGCGACGGCCAGUAGGAGACCGGCACGCCCGGUCGCGCCCGCGAGUCCGAAGACCUGCCCGCGCUGCGCACACGAG